rnacentral:rRNA from 1 species
GAUGAACGCUAGCGGGAGGCUUAACACAUGCAAGUCGAGGGGCAGCAUAGGGUAGCAAUACUCUGAUGGCGACCGGCAAACGGGUGAGUAACGCGUAUGCAACCUACCCUGUACAGGGGGAUAACCCGGAGAAAUUCGGACUAAUAUCCCGUAAUAAUAUCCGGAGGCAUCUUUGGAUAUUUAAAGUUCCGACGGUACGGGAUGGGCAUGCGUAACAUUAACUGGUUGGUAAGGUAACGGCUUACCAAGGCUAUGAUGUUUAGGGGUCCUGAGAGGGUGGUCCCCCACACUGGUACUGAGACACGGACCAGACUCCUACGGGAGGCGGCAGUGAGGAAUAUUGGUCAAUGGGCGCAAGCCUGAACCAGCCAUCCCGCGUGCAGGAUGACGGCCCUACGGGUUGUAAACUGCUUUUCCCCGGGGCGAAUAACCCCCUCGCGAGGGGGGAUGCCGGUACCGGGGGAAUAAGGAUCGGCUAACUCCGUG